UGGGGAAUAUUGCGCAAUGGGCGAAAGCCUGACGCAGCAACGCCGCGUGAGUGAUGAAGGCCUUCGGGUCGUAAAGCUCUGUCGGAGGGAACGAAUGCUCUUGAGGUUAACAGCCUCGGGAGGUGACGGUACCCUCAAAGGAAGCACCGGCUAACUCUGUGCCAGCAGCCGCGGUAAUACAGAGGGUGCAAGCGUUGUUCGGAAUCAUUGGGCGUAAAGGGCGUGUAGGCGGUAUGUUAAGUCAGAUGUGAAAUCCCCGGGCUUAACCUGGGAACUGCGUUUGAAACUGAGGGGCUAGAGUGUGGAAGAGGGGGGUGGAAUUCCAGGUGUAGCAGUGAAAUGCGUAGAGAUCUGGAGGAACACCGAUGGCGAAGGCAGCCCCCUGGGCUAACACUGACGCUCAUGCACGAAAGCGUGGGGAGCAAACAGGAUUAGAUACCCAAGUAGUCCCUGAGCGGGCUGGCAAGGCGCAU
rnacentral:rRNA from 1 species